UGCUAAACCCGAUUGCAGCGAUAUCCUUUUUGGCUGUCACCCUGAGCGAAGUCGAAGGGUAGCCAAAAAGAUAAAGCGUAAAGCGGGACUGCAA
rnacentral:sRNA from 2 species